CGACAGCUGGUGACAGUGACGACACGUAUAUAAUGCGGCGAUAUAUAUAUGUAUAUAUUUUUUGAAGUUGUUCAAAGUUCGUCAAACGGGAACGGGUAGUAAAUUUUUUUUUUCUCGUGAAAGAAACACAAAAAGUCAUGGCGUUAUUAGAGUUGGAUGCAAAGAAACAUUGAUUGAAACAUUUUAUCGCUAAAAUACAUGGAAUAAGACGGAGGAAAAUGUGGCAUUAGGUUUUGUUCAAGGACAGUUUCUAGAGGAUGAAAUAAAGGACUCGUGGUAAUACUAUACAGACCACCAUUAAGAUGAAUGCCAAGACAGCAGUAACAUCGGUCAAAUAAAUAAAACGUUGAAGAAUUCCAUAGGUGCUGUUUAACAUGUCAUUCUAAUGAUGUAAUCAUUUUCAUGGAUCUGAACGAACAUAUAACUGGGAAAUGGAUAUUCUAUUCAGAAGGACAGUGCAGGUUGUUGUAAUGCUAAAAAACUGCUUGUUGGAUUGUCAUAGUUGGACUUCAUUACUAACGUCAAUCUUUUCACGCAUUUGAGAGUGAACACUUAAUGUUUUCCAGUGAGAAAUGUCUCGACACGGAAUUAUGUACAAUAAUAAUAUGGAGAAAAAAAAGGAUGAAAAACGUUUUUUCACAUGAUCUAUAAUUUCAGUGUUGCAUUAAUUAUUUUCGAAUUGGAACCAUUCAAGAAGUAACAUUGCAGAAUUGAUGUAAUUGUUUAUACGCGGUUCUUUUUAUUCUCGUACCACUUUACAUAUUCCAAGUUUAAAGGUCCAUUUGAUUUCAAUAUAAUGUUUGUGAUUAAAUUGUGUAUUAAACUUCAAAUAAACUUUAUAGUUGCA